rnacentral:lncRNA from 1 species
ACCCUCACCUGUCUUCAUCUCCUUCGCCAUUUUUAAAACCUAGCCGCCCUUGAAUUCUUACCCCCACCGGCAGGCAGCGCACCUCCAAUCGACCCCAAUUUCACACCACACAAUCACCAUGCCCCCCUAAACUCAAAUCCCCCAACAAUUUCCCCAAAUAAUCCCUUAAACCAACUGAAUUCCAAAUCUUAAAAAAGAAACAAAAAAACCUAGUUCCUGCAUUUUUGGGGAUUUUCGAUGGACCUUCUGCUCGUUUGACUGGCAGCUUGCCCAAAUAGACUACUCUUGACAAGAGUAGUCGUUUGAGUCAGCUUCGACCCCUCUCGAAGCACCCAGGCUAUGGCUGAGUUUUUGCCAACUUCUUCUUGGUCUACCAUUGCUGCUUGAAUCGGUAUACCCCUGACCCUCCCAUUUUUAUUAUUGUGUGCUUUCUUCGUCAGUUUAGUUUACAUGGUAGGUUAGGAUAAUUAACAAACAAAUCCAGUUUAAUUUUAAUCAGUUUAAUUGUUUAAAUCAUUUGUUUGCAUGUUUGGAUUUGUGGUUAAUUGCAACCUGUUUUAGGAUAGUCUAAAAAAUAAGAUUAUUUAGGUGUUAAUUAAUUUACUGUUAAUUAUAAUCAAUCUUAGGGUAGUUUUAUUUGGAUUUAAUUGUUAGCUAAUCAAGUUCAGAUUGUUCAAAUGAUUUGCUAGGGUAAUUGGUAACAGAUUAUUUUUUACUUUGAUAUUUGGUUCUGUUUUGGCCAAUGAAGGCUGAUCAGUUAAGGCCUGAAUUGUUAUUGAACUUGGGUUUGUCUUGAGCCAUUUGGCCAGGACAGUUGGCCCAGACUAAAGGGAAAGGUUCUAGAAUUAUACCAUUUGUCUAGAAUUGAUAAAAAACAUGUGAAAAUAUCUCAAUAUGAGCAGCUAUCUAACAGCUGCCCAAUUUCGGUUAUGGAAAGAUUCUUUCUCCCUGAAAUUUAGGGGGUGAGGUUGAAGGGAAUAAUUCUUAUCCUUUUCAGCACAUGACAUAUUGAGCAUCUAUAAAGAGGACCCUUCCCUCACUCAUUAGGGGAGAUUUUUCAGAUCCUAAAAAAUAUAGAAAAGUUGAGUGCUACUAUUCUAUUAGAGUUUCGACAAAGGGAGUUAGAACAAAGUUUUCUCUGGUAAUUCCUGGUUGUCCAAGGUCCAAACAUGGUUUAAUUUAGAGUUGUGUUACCUACUGUGUCUCCGCUGCUGACUGCAUCUUCUGUUUGGCUGCUUCAUUGUCCAUUUCAGCUCACUACCUUGUUUUGUUCCUUGUAUCCAGGUACCUCUAUGAACUUUAAAUGAAAAAGUGAAGCCUAAAGCAUGUAUUAGUCUUUAAUGUAAUAAAGUUGGGUGUUCAAAUGUUGAAAUCCCAGUUUUAUCUUCAUGUAUGCUAUUUGCAAGUCAUCUAGUUCAUCAUUUCUGUUUUAGUGUUUAAAUAUUCUGAAUCUGAUGUGCUAGUAUAUGACUUAGCCAUUUGUAUGGAUAUUCAUAACUAUUCUAUGUGUGGUUUGACAGUCUCAAAAAUGGUUAAUAGCCUCUUAGUUCACUUGGUCUUUAUCUGAGAAUGCUAGAUAUGUACUGGACAUGUCCAAAGUAGGUCAUGUUUAAUUAUUAGGUGUGCUUAGUUGAAAUAUUGCAUAUUUUAACAUUGUUUAAGUGAUUGUAUAUUUAAGUUGAUUCAUGAAUAAGUUUAGGGUUUAAUCUUUCAUUGUUAAUGGCAUGUUAAUAGGUUAAACUCAUGAUAUGGUUUUAUCAACCUUCAAUCUUCC